rnacentral:lncRNA from 1 species
CUGGCAGUGAAGGCAAUAGGGCAUCACCAGAGAGAGUUGCUGGAGUUUAUGUUUCUAAGAUGGGGCUAUGUCCUGGUUCUUUCCAAGUUUCAAAUGAGUCAGUAGGAGACAAGGAGAAAUGUAGAGGGGCCUGGAGCUCAGAGGAAGGAUACCCAAAGCAGGUGGAAACAGAACUCCAGCGUUGACAGAAAAAGAAAUCUCCUUUGUCCUGGUGUUGGGGAGAAGAUGGAUCCAGAGAGAUGACUCUGCUUAUGUCCUACCUAGCUCAUUUUCUGUUGGAUAGCAGGACACAUGAGACUGAGUAACUUACAAAGGACAUACACUAUUUGUGUUCAUGAUUUUGGAAGUCCAAAACUGGUGCCUUCCUCAGGGUUCUCAGAGAUCAGAAGAGGAUAUUGGAUUUCCUGUGAUUGGAGUGACAGAUAGUUGUAAGCUGGGAAUUGAACCUGAGUCCUCUGAAAAAACAAGUGCUCUUAGCUGCUGAGUCAUCACUGCAGCCUCUCACCACUCCUUCAGCCACUUCUGCUGCUGCUCCAGAGUCUGGAUCAUCUUGGUUAGACAGUUGACUGCAGAGGGAAGCCCCACACCUCUUUUGCCUCAUGACUUCCGAGCAUACACAGAGCUGGGUCCUUGUAGCAUCACACCCUGACUACAGCCAUCUUAUUGCCGACCAAAUAAGGUCAUCUUAUGCUGUCCAAUUCACUAACUCCUCAGUUCCCACUGUCUCUGAGUGGCGCACCUGUGACAAUCUGGCCUGUGCCCCCACUCCUGGAAUUCCAUGAGAUUAAACUGUUUCAUUUUGUGAUGCUUGGGGAAAGCAACAGAAUCAACGAUGUCACAAAGUCACCCAAUGCACUUGAAGUGUACAUGUGAUUCAGCAUACUUAGUUUCUUCUGUGUUUAUUUUUAUUUAUUUUUUAUGUAUACAGCAUUCUGCCUGAAUUGCAUGUAGGCCAGAAGAGAGCACCAGAUCUCAUUAUAGAU